AUUUAAAUAGUUUAAAAAAAAUAAUGAUUUGUGGAAUCAGAGAUGUAAUAUUAAUAUUAUUUUAAAUA
rnacentral:tRNA from 1 species